AGAAGAAGCAAGAACAUAAAGAUCAGGGGCAUAGCAGAGGAAACGCCGGAGGCUGAGCUGCCCCAUCUUGUGCGACGGCUCCUCACAGCCCUCCUUACGCCUAAGCAAGCCAAACAGAUAAUCCUAGAGGGGAUGUUUCGCCUCCCACGGCCAACCAAAGCCUUAGGUACCCUACCCAGGGACCUGUUAGUACGCUUCACUAGCAACAAAGACAAAAUGGCAGUGAUGAACGCAACCAGAACCCAGUCCCCCUACAUAUUUGAGGGCAUGUCGCUCACAUUCUACACAGACCUGUCACGGUCCACAAUGGCCUGGCGCCGCUCACUCCAACCCUUCACUUCCCUACUUCACGCACAAACCAUCACCUAUAAAUGGAGGGGCCCACAUGCGCUACAAAUAAGCCACGGAAACAGCCAAUACACCGUUCAAGACAUGCAGGGCGCACGCGACCUAUUGCCCACGUUGGGCCUGCGAAAGGACUCCUUACCUUCAGGGGGGCGAAGACCGACCAAUGCACCAUCUGGGAUGGGUGACCCCGCCACGUCUCUUCCGUUUGUCCCCCGAGAGUUUAAUGCCGCGAACUAUGCAGCGAUUACGACCUGAGGAGACCAGAA